rnacentral:rRNA from 1 species
GACGAACGCUGGCGGCGUGCUUAACACAUGCAAGUCGAACGGACAGGCCCUGCUUUUGUUGGGUGCUCGAGUGGCGAACGGGUGAGUAACACGUGAGUAACCUGCCCUUGACUUUGGGAUAACUUCAGGAAACUGGGGCUAAUACCGGAUAGGAGCUCCUGCUGCAUGGUGGGGGUUGGAAAGUUUCGGCGGUUGGGGAUGGACUCGCGGCUUAUCAGCUUGUUGGUGGGGUAGUGGCUUACCAAGGCUUUGACGGGUAGCCGGCCUGAGAGGGUGACCGGCCACCUUGGGACUGAGAUACGGCCCAGACUCCUACGGGAGGCAGAAGUGGGGAAUAUUGCACAAUGGGCGGAAGCCUGAUGCAGCAACGCCGCGUGCGGGAUGACGGCCUUCGGGUUGUAAACCGCUUUCGCCUGUGACGAAGCGUGAGUGACGGUAAUGAGUAAAGAAGCACCGGCUAACUACGUG